AUGUACGCCGACUGCCAGAAGGGUGAUCCUUCGACAGUAAUUUUUGUUGUCAACCGCAUCAACAUACCGAAGAGGAAGUAUGUAUCAUCAAGGAGUUAUGCCACCAACCCAUGGUUCGCAGGCCGGCCAGUCGUUCCAACAUCAACUACUACUGUUGAACUUCUUGAAUCCCACUUCCAAUCGCUGUCUGCACACCACCUUGCCAGGUUUGCAUAUAUUAUCAUUCUCCACUAUUUAAAUAAAUGGCAUGCUGCACUGCAUCACCAUAAGAAAUUUACUGGUUAUGACUUUUUUUCCCAAGAACUGGAUAGUACACAAUGCUCCACAGUUCGUACGAGUUAG
rnacentral:rRNA from 1 species